ACGGGUGACCACGGGGUGCGG
rnacentral:misc_RNA from 1 species